GCCUUAGCUUGCCAGCUGACUUCGGUCUGCAAAGAGGACACUGCACUUGUUUGAGGUAUGUGAAAUUGAAUUCCUGGAAAUGGGUCGAGAUGGAAUUUUGGUUCCGGUGGAGUCCCUGAAGAAGAAGACUGCGGUUUCCAGGAGCUGGAUUUUGCUGGAUCACAACGGGCAGAGUACCAUUCUUGAUGUGGACAAGUACGCUAUCAUGCGUAGAGUCCAGAUUCACGCCAGAGAUCUUCGAAUCCUUGAUCCUCUUUUAUCAUAUCCUUCAGCGAUCUUGGGCAGAGAAGGAGUUAUUGUUCUCAAUUUGGAGCAUAUCAAAGCAAUAAUCACAGCAGAGGAGGUAUUGCUUAGAGACCCAUUGGACGAUAAUGUAAUCCCUGUUGUUGAGGAACUUCAAAGACGAUUACCUUUUGUAAAUGUUACGAGCGAAAUAC
rnacentral:misc_RNA from 1 species